rfam:Camelus ferus unplaced genomic scaffold scaffold738, whole genome shotgun sequence.
GAGGGUAUAGCUCAGUGGUAGAGUGCAUGCUUAGCAUGCAUAAGGUCCUGGGUUCAAUCCCCAGUACCUCCA